rnacentral:RNase_P_RNA from 1 species
GGAGUAGACCGGGUGGUCGCCCGUCGGGUUACACCGGCGGGAGGAAAGUCCGGACUCCGAAGGGCAGGGCGCUGGGUAACUCCCAGGCGGAGCGAUCCGACACCGGCGCCACAGAAAACAAACCGCCGAUGGCCGGCCACGAAGCAUUGCUUUGCGGCCGGAUCAGGCAAGGGUGAAACGGCGGGGUAAGAGCCCACCGCGUUUGUGGCGACACAAACGGCACGGUAAGCGUCGCCCGGAGCAAGACCAAAUAGGAGGACACCCGACCGCAAGGUCGGAUCGGCUGGCCCGGCCGAGGUUCUCGGGUAGGUCGCAUGAAGCCCGGGGUAACCCGAGCUCAAGAGAAAUGAUCAUCCCCGUUUCAGAGUCUCUCUGAGGCGGGACAGAAUCCGGCUUACAGGUCUUCUCCAGCG